UUUAAAUAACCUGGCUUAAAAAUACACAAAAGGACAAAAACCAGCUCUGCAGUGAACUCUGAGCAUUGGGCAAGGGUGGGGAAUCAUAACCAAUUAAGUGACUCAUAUACCAUGAACUGGGUGGACAGUAGUGUAGCCUACACCUUUAGACCACAUUACAAAGAAUUUCCAGAAGGUAGACAUUCAGGAGGAAGACAGUGAAUACCAAACUUUCUCAGAAAACGGCUUUUUGUGAAACAUUGCUGUCUAUUUGGGUGAGGUGGGUCCAUGAGGGGCCACUGGAUAAAGAGAUAAUAAGGUGUUUGAGUGUGCCAUGGCCAGUUUCCUUACAUCAGUUGGUGAAAAGACACUGUCUUCUCAGUAUGUGCUGGCUAAAAGCCUGCUUGGAAAGAACUAUAAAAUCAUGAUGGUUUUAGGGCAAUGAUGUCUUCUAAUGUAGACCAGAGCCUAAACCUCAGAAGAAACCUGUUUUACCUGAGGAGCCAGAAGUCUCUGUACCAUGUGUACAGUUAUAGCCCGUCACUGCCCCCUGUGCCACCAGCACAUGCUGGGGAGCCCUGACACCGCUACUCUUCACAGUGCCAGCAGGCCCAUUAGCCGCAGAGCCAUCACUAGCAACAGUCCCCUCAGAAAUUUAAGUCCCUACACCCUGGUGGGGAAGAGCAAAGAAAGCCAAAUCUCAGCCCCUUGAACAUAAUAGAUGAGCCAUUCUGUAAGAUUUGAAGACCCCUCUGUUUUGACCAAUAUGGACAGGUCCCAGAAGGCCAAUGUACCUUAAUUUAUUGAUCCUUUUCUGCCACUGACUUCUUACAUUGGAAAAAAGCACCUCCUCAUACAAGAAAAACAAAACCUCUUGGGACUUAAUUGAUUUAAUCCAAUCUAUUACUCAAAUCCAAGUUGGGUAUCACAUGGGCAGAUUGUUGAACACCCCCGCUGAUUCUGGUUAUCUCAGAAUGGGUAAGGGACUGUGCCCCUAGAUGACAUCCAAAGCUUGUUUUCCGAGGAAGUCCCACUGGGACCAGAGUAAUGAUGGGGUGUGUGGUUGGAGAAGCUCAGGUGAUAAACUGGAGAUUCUUUUAAUCAAAAAAGGAGGUAGAAAGGCCCUAAAUAUGGGGGAAAUCUCAUGCUUCCGGGGCGUGUGGAGAGCCUGAACCGAUACAAGGAACUGAAGUGUGAAGCAGAUCAAAGGUUAAAAAGAAACCAGUUUGCUGGCUGCUACACUGAUAGAAUGUUCAGGGCACCCAUGGACAGUGUUCCACCAGAUUGGGGCUGUGGCCACUAAGAAGCCUGAUAGGACCACUUUGCUCAGAGGUGAGAUUGGUUCAGAACCAGUGUGCAUUUUGCCAUAGAAAGGGCAUUAGAAAAUGAACACCCACAGAAGGCAGAGAAUGCCUGCUUAGGUGUCAGAUAAGGAGGAAGGCUGGACGAUUCAAGUGAUAGCAGCCUAGACAUUGAAAGAGACACCAGAAAAAUGAGACUGUAGGCUUAGCAGCCAUACAAAAAAAUGAGGAAGAGUAGACCCAUUUCAUUGGGCCUGUAAGAGCAUUAUAGUCAAAAGGAUGCUGCUAAUGCUAGCCAGUUGACCUUACAUGAACACUGGUUGUGAUGUAAUCCAUGAAGGACACUACCGAUCGUGGGAGCUAUAGACAGCUUUUCCUCAUAUCCAGUUCUUGGGGCCUGGGAAGCCAUGAUGUUAUCCAUGAGUUUCUAUGCCAUCCAGGUUGUACAGUGCCUCUGUUGGGUUGACCUGGGAAAGCUGCAAGCUCAAAUAACUAACUCCUCAGGCCCAGAAAACCUAAACUCUGGGAACACCUGAAACAAAUGAUGACCCCUGGGAAAAGGAAUGAUGACCAUUUGGCUUGGCUGAGAAGCCACAAGGGCCUGAGCUUCUUGAAGUUCUUGGUUUACUGGUUGAGAUUAAACAACCAUUUCUCGUAAAAUACUCCUCCAGUGGUCACAGAAUUAAGACAAGCGAUAGCCCACUCACCAGAAAGCAGUAUCCCUUUCCAGGCACAAGUUGGAGCUUUAAAAUGCCUAGAAAAACUUUUAAAAAGGAGAAUUCUCUGGUCUCAUCAAACAGCCUGGGAUAUACCUCUCUUGCCAGGCCAGAAACAUAGGACUGAUGUUUAUAGUCCAGCAUAGGACUUAGGGGCAGUAAAUCACAGUAACUGCAUCAGCUGUCCCCAGUCCUCAACACCUGUCAGGGCUUGCUUCUGCUGAGGCUGUUUUCUUUAGAUCUAAAGAACCAGUUUCUAGGUUCACACCCCCAUCUCGGCAGCCUAUUUUUGUCUUUCAAUGGUAAAGUCCUGAAAAUAGUGACAAAAGUCAAUUAACUUCAACCAGAUUGCCCCAGAUUUAAAUCUUUCUUUACCAUUUUUGGCACUGUGUUAUUUGACCAGCAUAACUUUACACUGCUCCAAUAUGUAGAUGAUUUAUUCCUGGUGGGAGCCACCAAAGAAGACUGGAGGAGACAUACACAAUCUAUCCUACUUUGGAGAACUGGUUAUAAACUCUAUAGUAAAAAGCCCCAACCUGACUAGAUAUUCUGGUCUUUAAUCUUAGCACUUGAGAAGCAGAGGCAACGGGAUCAAACUGAGUCUAAGGCCUAUCUGGUCCUCAUAGUAAAUUCUAGGUUAGCCAGAACUACAUAGAACCUGUCUCAAAACAACCUCUUCCCUACCUCCACAAAACUGCCAAGAAAGGGUUAAAUAUCUCCCGUUCCAUUUGUCACAGGGGUAACUCCAAAGACCUGAGAGGAAGCAGGCAGGCCUUUUGCUCGGUUCAGUUCUGCAUACCCUCAUGUCAGAUUUGAGAGUUUCUUGGAAGACUGGUGUCUAUUUGGGUUCCAAAUUUUUCUGUUCUGGAAAAAACAGAAUGGAAGCCACAGAAUGGGGAGAAAGCCCUCAUUGUGGGAAAAAGACCAACAGAAAACUUUGAAGAAAUCAGGCAGGUCCUUACCGGCUUCAGACUCCCAGACAUAAUCUUUUUAUAUGAGUCGGAUGUUGGGAUCUUGGCAUUACCCAUAGCUUGUCUUUUUAAACAGCUGGGCUCUAUGGCUAUAGGCUGGCCACCUACCUGCAUCCACUUGCUACAAUACUCUUGGUAACACAGGUUGACAAACUGAUUGUAAGGAUUUGACUGUUGACACCAUAUAUACAUUGUUAAUUUUGAUGGAUUACAAAGGCCAAUAGUGGGUCACAAAUGCUAGCAUGGCCAGCUGUGAGGCCAUCCUAUGUGAAAGCUCACACAUCAUCUACAAGUGAUUCCAAAUCUUAAACCCUGCAGUGUAAUGCCAGGCUUGCCAGAUUGUGAUUACAUUGAAGGCAGGACAGAUCUAACAGACAAACCUAAAGACCCCGAUGUACCAUAUCUUACUGAUGGCAGUAGUUUUAUAGAAUAGCUUGCUGUGUACUCUGAUGAUCCUUAAUUCUACCACUGAGGCAAAUCCUCUGCCCAAGGGGACCAGCAAAAAAAGCAGAACUCAGAGCUUCAGCGGGCGUGCUGUGGCUGGCAGUAGGAUGAAUGUGAACAUAUUUACAACCCUUAAGUGUAUUUCUACUAUGCUCUGUGAGCAUGGAGCCCUGUGUAAAGAAGAGGGACUGAUCAAUUCAGAAGGGAAAGACAUAAAUAUGGCAAAGAAACCAUAGAAUUCUUAGAGCUGUAUAGCCUCUAAGAAAAUUGGCUGCCUUGUAGUUUUGAGGACACCUGAAAGGAAACGCUAACAACUUUUGGGGGGCAACUGCAGAAUAGACAGAAAGGUGAAAACUACCAGCUUUCAAAGGAAGGGCAGAGUUGGCAAUUGCUAUAGCCACAUUAUCUCCAGGCCACUAGGUAAAUGGCUAGGCUUAAGACUGAAAAUGAGGACUGUCUCCCCAGCAAGUGGUAGAAAUUUCAAAGAUGACUAUAGCCAUCCCUGUGGCCACUGCCUCUGCCUUUGUCACACAGUUCCAUCAGUGACCUCAUGUCAGCUGGAUGGCUCUGGAUGGGCUGAGGGCAAUAGAAUGCUGAAGGAGCCCUGCUCCUUUGGUUGUUGACUUUGGUUGUUGACUUUCCAGAGCUGCCCUAAGCUAGGGGCUACAGAUUCGGGCUUGUCUUUGUACGUGCAUUCUCAGGUUACAUAUGUGAAGCCCUUAUAGAAAGGGCAUUUGAAGUAAUAUGGCUUCUAAAAGAAAUCAUUUCUGGGUUUGGGAUUCAUGUUGCUUACAGAGGCAGACACUGGGUCAGCAUUUGUGACAGAGAUAGUACAUACAAUUGGUAGCUGGAGGGCUAAAAGUCCUCUGGAAGCUACACAAGCCAUAUCUUCUGUGGAGCUCUUGGAAGGUGGGGUCUGUGAACUAGACAGUAAAAUUACAGAUAAACUGUGGUGAAAGUCUCAACCAACAAUUGCUUUGUUAAAAAUCAAAUCUACUUUCUCCCCCCACCCCCCAGACGGGGUUUCUCUGUAUAGCCCUCACUGUCCUGGAACUCACUCUGUAGACUAGGCUGGCCUCAAACUCAAAAGUCCACCUGCCUCUGCCUCCCAAGUCCUGGGACUAAAGGCGUGCGCCACCACCACCCAGCUAAAAAUCAGAUCUAAUUGCAUUGCUAAGCCCUUGCAUUUACCUCUUCCAGUCCUCCUACUUUGGGCCUUUGCUACAGGCUUCAGAUAGCUGCCCCAGCAGGUGGGACUGCCAAGCAGGGUUUUCUGUUUAUGAAAUCCUUUAUGGGCAUCCUCUCCUUGUCAGAGAAAUAUAGGGGAACUUAAAAGGAUUUGGCAUAUCAUUUUAAGACAACAGAUGCAGAGGCUCUGUUCCACCGUGGUUCAUUCAUCACAAAGCCAGGGAAUGGUUUCCUGUAAGCCUCACUACGAACACAAACACUCCUUUAAACCAGGAGAUGCAGUCUGCGGGAAAGAAUGGAAUAUCCAGGUCCUGAAGCCUUUACAGAGAGGUCGACUCACUGUUAUUUUAUCCACUCCCACUGCAGUAAAGACUGCCAAGAUGACUCCCAGGACUUGUCAUAGCAAAGAGAAUCCAGCCUCCAAUACCUGGGAAUGUGUUCUUGACCCAGCGACACCGUGCAAGCUGACCAUCCGCAGGAAUCCAGCUACACCAUCAAAGGGCUUGAAGAGAUAAAGAGACGCAGCUAGACCAGAGAACGACAGCAUUACUUCGGUCUCUCUAGCAGCCAACUGACCUAUUCAUGAGCCAUUGGUGGGACAAGCAAACUGCUGCUCUCUUUACUGACUCAUGAAUGAAUUGCCAACCCCUUGCUUUUACAAAACUCUUCUGAUGCUCCUGCUUUAGGCCUGUGCUACAGGAGCAGACCGGACCAAUGGCUAAAGGUUCCUGAAAACCACCUCUUACCUCUUUUGCCCCAGAUGCAUGGCUAUUAUCUGUUGCUGUUAAUUUGGCUCUCUUGUCAUGGUCAGAGACCUGGCUGAUAAAAGUUAUUUUAAGAAUUUUAU
rnacentral:lncRNA from 1 species